rnacentral:rRNA from 1 species
CCUACGGGUGGCUGCAGUGGGGAAUAUUGGACAAUGGGCGAAAGCCUGAUCCAGCCAUGCCGCGUGUGUGAAGAAGGCCUUCGGGUUGUAAAGCACUUUCAGUGGGGAAGAAAGCCUUGGGGCUAAUACCCUCGAGGAAGGACAUCACCCACAGAAGAAGCACCGGCUAACUCCGUGCCAGCAGCCGCGGUAAUACGGAGGGUGCGAGCGUUAAUCGGAAUUACUGGGCGUAAAGCGCGCGUAGGCGGUCUGAUAAGCCGGUUGUGAAAGCCCCGGGCUCAACCUGGGAACGGCAUCCGGAACUGUCAGGCUAGAGUGCAGGAGAGGAAGGUAGAAUCCCCGGUGUAGCGGUGAAAUGCGUAGAGAUCGGGAGGAAUACCAGUGGCGAAGGCGGCCUUCUGGACUGACACUGACGCUGAGGUGCGAAAGCGUGGGUAGCAAACAGGAUUAGAUACCCGAGUAGUC